UGUUGGCACAUCAUGCAAUCUUAAUCGGGUAGCACUUAAGCUUACACCAGCUGCAGCAAAAAGCACAUUUCGAUAUGAGUGUUUGUGGUGUGUUGUUUGCAAAGCAAAAAAAAAAAAAAAACUUGUCUUGUGAAUGGCGAUGCCCAUCUCUUGUCUCAAUCUGUUUGUCUGUCUAGAUGCCACAAAACGGGAGGAUGGCACACGUCGCUGAGGAUCACUAAAGUGGAUAUGUUUGCAGACACUCACAUUUGGAUCGGAGGAGCUUAGCGGGUGGAUUGUGAAAAAAAGGUGUGGUGCUGCCCUACCGAGGAUUUGGCAAGGCGCACGCGGCAGGAAGGGGAGAAAAACAAAAAACGUUUUGUUCAGUAGAGCAAGCGCUGGUUCGGGGAGCGCAAGAGGAAUACGGCGCUGGGAGAAGUGGCUUGCACACAAUGGCAGGAGGAGAACACGCCGCGUAGCGCAUAGGAAGGAGCAGCACGCAUCCUGCACACGGGAGACGGAAUUGGCCAUCAGGAAUUCGGAGCCUCAUUUCAGGGUCUCACUCCUGACGAGGAGGAGGACUGACACGCAGGGGUUCAGGACCUGUUUACACGUGUGUGUGGAAUCUGGAUCAAUAGGAAUGGAUGGAAUUCAGGAUUGGAUCCACACAUGGCAGGAUGCAAACAGGUGCCGUAAGAGUUGCGCACAACUGUGGGAUGGAAUGGUGGGGUGGGCUGUUGUGGCUAGGACUAGAUGCAGCUUUGGGAUGGUUGGUGGGCUCUUUUUCUGCAGCUUUUUACAGAGAAGUACUGGUAUUAUAAAGCAGUACUUAUAGCAUUAGCAGUGUACUCUCACUUAACAUUGGGCAAUCAAAUUUAGGUAUACAAUCAAGCCUCAUAACAGUUACAUCUUAUGUGAAAACAAGUUCGUGAUACCUGAAAAUUCGUUAUAAAAUCUAUGUUCCUAACAUUAUAUUUCGAGGCUAGUAGUUUGCAUUUGCUCGGUUGUAAUCGAGGUUUGAGUGUAGCUUAGAGCUGUUUCUAAACAAUCGAUGGUCUUGCUUCAGGACGCAGUUUUUUCAGGACUUGUCAGAGGUGAGUAUGAACAAUGGGGCAGCGUGGGAUCAGUGGCAACUUGGAGGUAUAGCAAUCUAGCCUGUAGACCUUGUGUUAUCAGUCGAGCUCAUGAUUUUGAGGUGGCAUUAAAAUUGACAUCUGGUUUGA